UACGUAGGGUGCAAGCGUUAAUCGGAAUUACUGGGCGUAAAGCGUGCGCAGGCGGUCUGCUAAGAGAGAUGUGAAAUCCCCGGGCUUAACCUGGGAACUGCGUUUCUAACUGGCAGGCUUGAGUGUGGCAGAGGGGGGUGGAAUUCCACGUGUAGCAGUGAAAUGCGUAGAGAUGUGGAGGAACACCGAUGGCGAAGGCAGCCCCCUGGGCUAACACUGACGCUCAUGCACGAAAGCGUGGGGAGCAAACAGG
rnacentral:rRNA from 1 species